UACGUAGGGGGCAAGCGUUGUCCGGAAUUACUGGGCGUAAAGAGCGUGUAGGCGGUCCGGUAAGUCAGCUGUGAAAGUCAAGGGCUCAACCCUUGAAUGCCGGUUGAUACUGUCGGGCUAGAGUCCGGAAGAGGCGAGUGGAAUUCCCGGUGUAGCGGUGAAAUGCGCAGAUAUCGGGAGGAACACCAAUGGCGAAGGCAGCUCGCUGGGACGGUACUGACGCUGAGACGCGAAAGCGUGGGGAGCAAACAGG
rnacentral:rRNA from 1 species